GCCACAACGAUCUUCUGUGAUGUUGUUAUUGUUGUUAUGAAGGACUCUGCCUAAAGAUCUCCUGGAGGAGAUCAGUCUGAAUAUCACAAAAUUCAACAUCCAUGGUCUUGUCAUUAUUGGGGGCUUUGAGGCAUUCCUGGGAGGUCUGGAGUUGGUAGAAGCUAGAGAGAAGUACGAGGAACUGUGUAUUCCCCUUGUUGUUGUUCCAGCUACUGUCUCUAAUAACGUUCCUGGAUCGGACUUCAGCAUAGGCGCAGACACAGCCCUCAACACCAUAACCAUGACUUGUGACCGGAUCAAGCAGUCUGCUGCUGGCACCAAGAGGAGAGUGUUUAUUGUGGAAACCAUGGGGGGAUACUGUGGCUACCUGGCAACCAUGGCUGGGUUGGCAUCUGGAGCAGAUGCAGCCUACAUUUAUGAAGAACCAUUCAAUAUUCAUGACCUGGAGGUUUGCCCCAAUAACUAACAUC